AACGCGAAGAACCUUACCUCGGCUUGACAUGCACGUGGUACCAACACGUAAGUGAAGGGACCCGCAAGGGAGCGUGCACAGAUGCUGCAUGGCUGUCGUCAGCUCGUGCCGUGAGGUGUUGGGUUAAGUCCCGCAACGAGCGCAACCCUCGUCGAGUGUUGCCAUCAUUAAGUUGGGCACUCACUCGAGACCGCCGUUGAUAAGACGGAGGAAGGUGGGGAUGACGUCAAGUCAGCAUGGCCCUUACGUCCUGGGCUACACACGUGCUACAAUGGCCGGAACAACGGGCAGCCAGACCGCGAGGUCGAGCGAAUCCCAUAAAGCCGGUCUCAGUUCGGAUUGCAGGCUGCAACUCGCCUGCAUGAAGUCGGAAUCGCUAGUAACCGCAGAUCAGCUACGCUGCGGUGAAUACGUUCCCGGGCCUUGUACACACCGCUACAGU
rnacentral:rRNA from 1 species